rnacentral:rRNA from 1 species
GGACUACCGGGGUAUCUAAUCCGGUUCGCUCCCCACGCUUUCGCGUCUCAGCGUCAGUUAUAGGCCAGGCAGCCGCCUUCGCCACUGGUAUUCCUCCUGAUAUCUACGCAUUUCACCGCUACACCAGGAAUUCUGCUGCCCUCUCCUACACUCAAGCCAGGCCAGUUCGCAAUGCAGUUUCCGGGUUGAGCCCGGGGAUUUCACAUCACGCUUGACCAGCCGCCUACACGCGCUUUACGCCCAGUAAAUCCGGGUAACGCUUGCCCCCUACGUAUUACCGCGGCUGCUGGCAC